rnacentral:tRNA from 1 species
GUCCGGUUCGAAUAGCGGCCUAAUUCGCCACCCUUUCAAGGUGGAAAUCAUGGGUUCAAAUCCCAUACCGGAUACCA